rnacentral:pre_miRNA from 1 species
CAACGACGGCGAGGCGGCCGUCGCCAGAUCUGGCGAGGCUCGACCUCGCCAGAUCUGGCGAUGGUUGCCUCGCCGGCCACU